UUGGAACGUGAGCUUGAGGCCAUGUCUACCUUUGAUUACUGAGAAGUUAUGUUACUCCUCGUGAAGAAGUUCUUACGGGCACGUUUAGAGGAUUUAGUAGGCAAAGAUGCCAAAGAGAAAUCUGAUGCUGCUAUAAAAGACCUUUUUACGAAGCUUGCACUUGAGGCCAAAAGCAAUGUCAACAAAGGAGGUGAUGAUUCAAAACAGAUACAGGCAAUGUCAAAGAAAAAGAAGAAGGAUGACAGAAGAGCUAAGAAUCCAAAGGGUGUUAGUCAUGACAAAGAGACUCACCCAUAAGGAAACUAAAGAACAAGCGAAGCUGAGGCUACUUUGAAUGCUAAGGAUAUCCAAUCACAAAUACAAAAUCACCUAUGGAUGUGGUAUGAGAGUAGCUACAGUAAAGCUAGGGUCCUCAAGGAAUCAUUGUUGAUGUGAUUAUGAUGUCUUCUUGGUUUCCAUUUGUAGAUGUGUGAUUGGGAUAUCGAUGUUUUGGGUGGUGGCAACAGCCUGUGGAGUUGGACUGGCCAUCAACCUCACCUCUAUGUGGUUUUUAAACCAAAUAGGUCCCACCAUGUACAGGUAAGAGUCAUAUACCACUGAGAGACUACUAAUGAAUAGUCUUCCUACUGCCACAUAUAGGUAAGAGUCAUAUGCCUCCCAUCCGCAUAGGGUCUAUCAGAUCAUUAGUCUUCCUACCAAAGACUUUACUUUUGUUAAAGAUGAGGACCCCAUGUAAUCUCUUUGAUCAAUAGUCUUCGAUUGAUAUCUUGACAUGUCUCUUGCCAUUUGAUAUCAUGAAUAUCUUUUGGAGUCAAUGAGUUUUGGGUUUGAAGGUUGGUUUGAAAGGAGAGGCCAUGAAUCUUGACUCUCCGAAUGGCAUUGCGUCUGUGGAAUGGCUGCAAGCACCAUUAGCCGUUCAAAAACAGCAGCCCUUGACAUGGUAUAAGGCUUAUUUUGAUGCACCCGGGGGAGAUGAGCCCUUGGCUUUGGACAUGGGGAGUAUGGGAAAGGGCCAAGUGUGGAUUAAUGGGCAGAGCAUUGGAAGAUAUUAGAGUGCUGUUGCGAAUGGCAUGUGCAACGAGUGCAGUUAUGCUGGGACAUAUAUCGAGCGCCAAAAUGUCAAACUAGCUGUGGCCAGCCAACACAAUGUUGGUAAGAACUUUUACAGCAUCCAGAAUUUUUGAGCUGCUCAUGUGGAAAUUCAUUGCAUUUGCUGAUUAUGCUGACAGAUCAAAAGCCAUGGGAAAUUUAGUUCUUUAAUGUGGGCUGCAUUUUGUUUGGGCUAGUUCGAACUCAUGUCAUCUG